ensembl:lincRNA si:dkey-188h10.3 si:dkey-188h10.3
GCUCGUCCUCCCUCACACCACAAAGCUUGCUUCAUUGAGCUGUGGAUCGCGGAGUCUCUGUAUUGGAAGGAUCUCGCCGAUUUCCAGCGAAACUGUUUCUCUUAUUUGUUUAUCUUAAAGAUCGGGUGCAUUUUACUUCCCGGGAAGAGCAGUUGUUUAUAUUGUAAUGCAUUUUUGUCUCUGAUCUCCUUUGGUAGUUUGAGUACUGAAAAGAAUGAAGUCCACUGUGAUAGACAUUGUGUGCCGACUAAUUUGGGUUGUUUGCAGUUGCAGUGGACUACAUCGAGAUUCUAUUUGGUGUUAACCAACUUGGAAACAGACCAAUCAAUCUAACAGGGUAGUUCACCCAAACAUGAAAAUUGUAAAUUAACUUUUCAAAUACUGAGUUUCUUCUGUUAGAAAUAAAAAAUAUGUAUUUUGAAGAAAGCUGGAAGCUUAACUAUUCACUUCUAUAGCAAAUAAAAUAAAUGCUAUGGAAGUCAAUUAUUACAUAAUUUCAGCUUUCUUCAAAAUUCAUCUUGUGUUCAAGAGAAGAAAUUGAAACCAAUUGAUGUUUAGUAAAUUUUUAUCUACUAUUCCUUAAGUGUCUUUUGAUCUCAGAGUUAACUUGCUGUUAUGACAUUCAUUGGAACAGGUUGAGGUUUGUAGUUUUUACACUGUGCUGUUAACUUUAAUGCUUAGUGGUUAAUUUAAUUGCAUUGUUUUUUUGUUACUUUGUCAUUGUAUCUGAACAAUUCUGUUUGUCUUGCUGUAUGUAAUAAAGAAAAUUGAGCACUA